rnacentral:tRNA from 1 species
UCGGUUAAUACCUUCCCCUACUA